AAGUCGUAACAAGGUAUCCGUAGGUGAACCUGAUGGAUCAUUACUAAAAUAUCCAUCCUACGUAAUGUGAACCAUAGUCAGUGUUUGGUGUGCUGUAAUGGCUACCGGUACUGACUACACUGUAUGUAAAUUUAAACUAACUGAGAGUACUAUACUUAUAGUAACCAAUGAGAACUUUUAGCAACGGAUCUCUUGGCUCUC
rnacentral:misc_RNA from 1 species